CCUACGGGUGUCAGCAGUGGGGGAUAUUGCACAAUGGGGGGAACCCUGAUGCAGCGACGCCGCGUGGGUGAAGAAGCGCCUCGGCGCGUAAAGCCCUGUCAGCAGGGAAGAAAAUGACGGUACCUGAAGAAGAAGCCCCGGCUAACGACGUGACAGCAGCCGCGGUAACACGUAGGGUGCAAGCGUUAUCCGGAUUUACUGGGUGUAAAGGGGGCGCAGAUGGGGUUGCAAGUCAGUUGUGAAAGUGCGGGGCUCAACCCCGGGACUGCACUUGGUACUGGGUGGCUGGAGUACAGGAGGGGCAGGCGGAAUUCCUGGUGUAGCGGUGAAAUGCUUAGAUAUCACGAAGAACCCCGAUUGCGAAGGCAGCUUACUAAACUGUGACUGACAUUGAUGCCCGAAAGUGUGGGUAUCAAACAGGAUUAGAUACCCGAGUAGUC
rnacentral:rRNA from 1 species